UCUUAGCUUUCUGGUUUGUUUUUUUUUCCUGCAGUUUCUUGACUGCAGGGUGCUGCUCGGCUCGGACUCCACCAUCUUCAGGGUCGUCCCCUCUGUCCCUGAGGGGUUCUGCUCCUAACAGGAACGUGGUGAGACCGCCACAGGGAGUGUAACUCACCGUUGGAAUCCGGCUUGGCUUUCUCCUCCUUCAGGUGCAAGCUGCUGAGCUGUGGGCGAGGAAAAACAGCGGCGUCAGGACCCUGGUACCCUGCAGAGGCUCCGUGUCACCGAAACCUCCUCAGGACACCAAGCGGAGGGGCCGGGAGCCUCGUGCUGUGCUCCUGGUGUGUGAGCAGCCCUCAGAGCCACAGUGAGCAAACACGGAGCAGGCAGCCGGCUACGUGGGCUACUCUGCGGCUGAUUUAUUUGUCUGAUCAGGACCGUAAAUCCUCCGGCUUCGGGGCUGAAGUCAGCCUCCGGGGAAGGGAGGAAACUCGGCUGGGGUCUGCUGGCAGGGUUUGUGAAUUUCCCUCUGAAAACAGGUCCUAGGUGGGGCCGAAGUGGUUCUCAGUCUGCUCACCCAUCCCACAAGAAGGACUUGUGCUGGAAAACCUCAGCCCUGCUGCAUGUCCCCUCCCUGGGGAGCCGUGCAGCCCUGUCCCCGGUGCCUCAGUUUCCCCCUGACCAUUCUCCCCCUUUUUAAGCCCCAGCCGCCCCGUGUGGUGCUCGUGUCCGGCACCAGCACAUCCUGCUGGAGCAUCCUCACUUGUAGGGCAACCCCAUGGGUGUCCUGUGUGCCCCACAGCAGCGAGCAGGGGGCGAGGAGCUGCGUGUGGGGCUUUGAUUUCCCCUAUGAGGGAAGCAGACGAGCAAAGUGCCUUUUCCCUUCCCGCUGGGCUCCGUGCUCGUCCUCCAUCCCUUCCCCAUACCCCCGGGAGCAGGAGGGGGCCGCGGGAGGCGAUUGUCAUGGUUACCUCUCCCCGACAGACACAAAUGGCUCCAGCUGACCAUGGGCACCCACGGGGCUCCUCCAAGGCUGCAGCCACGCACCGGGGGCAGCCAGCGAGCCGGGACCCAACCUCGGCGUGCUCGCACGUGUGUGUCCACCGAGAGACAAAAGCAGGGGCUGAAGCAGUGCCGGCCGCCCUCCGAGAGCCCUCCGGCCGCCUUCCAGACCCCCCCAGCCCAGCUGCAGGAGCUUGCAGGAGGGGGGGGGAAGUUGCUCCAGCACCCCCACCACCCCCCCAGCCACCCACCCACCCCCUCUCCCAGG